CUCCAAGGCAACACUUCAGACACAUUUUUCUAUGGAGCAUCUGUGUCCUACAGCUGUGAUUCUGGUUACUCACUCACUGGGGAUGCUUUCAUCACCUGCACAGCAUCAGGAACCUGGAGCCAUCCUCCUCCUCGAUGCAAAGAGAUCAGUUGUGUAUUCCCAGAAGUUCAAGGUGUUAAGAAAACCACAGCUGGAAAAACAUACAGAAUUGGGACUAACAUCACCCUUGAAUGUGAUGAUGGGUACACGUUGGAAGGCCUCAAUCAGAUUCAGUGCCAGGAGGACUUCAGCUGGGACCCUCCUGUGCCAGCCUGUAAACUCACUUCACCCAGGUCUGGCUCAAUAGGGCUAGGAAUUGCAGCUGCAGUCGUUCUGCUUCUCCUGGGUGCGACCAUUGCCUGGAAAAUUAUCUCUAAGCAGAAGGAAGGGUGAGACAUCCUGUUGGGUAUCCAUUCACAUUUUUCUUUGCCCAGUUAUGACUCCUAUACAGUCAAAACACCAGAAUUAGGAGGCUGGGUCUUUCAGUUUUGUAUUUUGAGCUUUAAGUUGCCAGCUGUACUGAGCGCAUCAACUUGGAGUCAACUGUGUGGUUGUGCUGUUUCAUUUCCAAGAUUCUUCCUAAGAGGAAAUCUGAGUGUUCACUAUGAACUGACAUAGUU
rnacentral:lncRNA from 1 species